AAAAACAAAACAGAAUAAAAAUAAGAAAAUAAAAGGAAAUUAAAAAGAGUAAAUGAAAAUAGGAUGGAUUAAUGGUGAUGAGUCAGGCGUGUGGGGUGUCAACAACAAACUAUGCAAGGCCCAUGGUCCACAUGAUAAUUGCCAGGCGUGACAAAAAAUUUAAUAACAUUUUAAUGAAAUAAUCAUGUGACUUUUAUCAAUUGGUCAGGCUAUCACUUAAGCGCUACAAGACAA
rnacentral:lncRNA from 1 species